rnacentral:misc_RNA from 1 species
GGAACUUGUUUAAUAUCAUCUUCAUAUGCAACUUCAGAUAUUCGCUGUAAUAGGCCUUCAUCAAAAUCUUUGAAAAAACCACCUCUAACAUUGCAGGCUACAUUUCUGGCAACACAAAGAACAGGAACAGAAUUGUUGCCUUCAGCUUGAGGGGCAAAAUAUGGAGCAAAUGCAGGAACAACGUGCACUCGAGGUUGAUCCUUAUCAUCC